UGGAUUACACUUUUGGCAUGGUUAGGUUGAACACUAAAACUUACUAUACCUCCGUUUGGUUCGGGGUUAAGGAAAAAGUAGCUAUACCAGGGAUAGGGUUAAGUUCAGGGUUAAAGUGGUGUUAAAAUUUUUUUGUGUUUGGUUGGAGUAGGUGGGAUAAAAAGAUAAUGAUUGAUAAAUAAGAAAAAAGGUGAGGGCUCGGGAUGCGUGCGGGGUUAAAGUUGGGAAGGGGAGUGGGGUUAAUGAUUGAUAAAGAAGAAAAAGGUGAGAGCUCGGGAUGCGUGCGGGGUUAAAGUUGGGAAGGGGGUGGGGUUAAUAAACCCCACCCUUUUUUCAUGAUGUUUGGGUAUAAAUUGGGGGUUAAAGGGUUAUUCCACCCCUUAACCCCCAACCAAACGGGGAAAAGAAUACACUAGAACUUCCACAGAUUUCUAGACAACUUGCAAAUUUAUAAUUAGAGCAUAUUAUUUUUGUGUUCCAUUAAGUUUAACAUUUUAUGCAUUUUAUUUAGGUGCGAGAAAGCGUGAGCAAUUCGAAUCCUCACUCUACAGGUCCAAAUUUGUACAUAGAACUACUUACAGGUUAUAGCUAGAAUUUCUUUGAACCUUUAGGCAGUGUUAGGUUGAAGAACUAAUUUUGGAGAAUAAUUUUUGUUGUUUUCGAAAAAUAUUCUGAUAUAAGAUAGAACAAUUAUAAAUUUAUGUUUGGAUGUAUUCGGAGAUAUUUUAAAUGAUAUCCUUAGUAGCGUUUGAAUAAAAAGCGUAGAACAAUAUCUGAAUAUAUUUUUAAAAAUAAAAUAAUUAAUUUAUAUUAGUGUAUUUUAUAUAAAAAUUAUUUAUAAAUUAUUUCUUAUAGUAAUUUGUAAUAUUUUAUGUAACAAUUUAAUUUAAAAUAGUAUAUUUAUUUUACUAUAUAUAAUAAUUAAUAAUUUAUUUUAUAUAAUUUAUUCAUAAUAUAUGUAACGAUAUCCUUAUAAUU
rnacentral:lncRNA from 1 species